rnacentral:rRNA from 1 species
UACGAGGGGGGCGAGCGUUGUUCGGAAUUAUUGGGCGUAAAGAGCUCGUAGGCGGUUUGUCGCGUCUGCCGUGAAAGUCCGGGGCUCAACUCCGGAUCUGCGGUGGGUACGGGCAGACUAGAGUGAUGUAGGGGAGACUGGAAUUCCUGGUGUAGCGGUGAAAUGCGCAGAUAUCAGGAGGAACACCGAUGGCGAAGGCAGGUCUCUGGGCAUUAACUGACGCUGAGGAGCGAAAGCAUGGGGAGCGAGCAGG